rnacentral:rRNA from 1 species
UACGAGAGGCCCAAACGUUAUUCGGAUUUACUGGGCGUAAAGGGCGCGCAGGCGGCUUUGUUUGUCAGGCGUGAAAGCCCCGGGCUUAACCUGGGAACUGCGUUUGAUACGGCAGGGCUAGAGUUCGGGAGAGGAGAGUGGAAUUCCCAGUGUAGAGGUGAAAUGCGCAGAUAUCAGGAGGAACACCGGUGGCGAAGGCGGGUCUCUGGGCCGUAACUGACGCUGAGGAGCGAAAGCGUGGGGAGCAAACGGG